UGCCAACGUCCAUACUCUGCUUCUCGUCCGAUCACCCAAAUUAAGCAUCAACGGGGCCGGUCAGUACUUCGGAGGGUGAUCACCUGGGAACACCACGUG